CCCCUGCGAGGACUCCCCGGGAACUGGGGUUAAUUUCCGAUAGGUGAAGAUUCCUGGAAUGGAACUUUGCCCAAAAGGCGUUUAGGCCAUGCUUCUAAGCGUUGCCCAAGGAUGGGGCCGCGGCCGAUCAGGUUGUUGGUGAGGUAAUGGCUUACCAAGCCUUUAACCGGUACGGGCCGUGAGAGCGGGAGCCCGGAGAUGGGCACUGAGACAAGGGCCCAGGCCCUACGGGGCGCAGCAGUCGCGAAAACUUCGCAAUACGCGAAAGCGUGACGGGGCCAUCCCGAGUGCCGUCCGCUGAGGAUGGCUUUUCUCUAGUCUAGAUAGCUGGGGGAAUAAGGAGAGGGCAAGUCUGGUGUCAGCCGCCGCGGUAAUACCAGCUCUCCGAGUGGUGGGGACGUUUACUGGGCCUAAAGCAUCCGUAGCCGGCUGGACAAGUCCCCCGUUAAAUCCAGCGAUUCAAUCGUUGGAUUGCGAGGGAUACUGUUCGGCUAGGGGGUGGGAGAGGCCAACGGUAUUCUCGGGGUAGGGGUGAAAUCCUAUAAUCCCGGGAGGACCACCAGUGGCGAAGGCUGUUGGCUAGAACAUGCUCGACGGUGAGGGAUGAAAGCUGGGGGAGCGAACCGGAUUAGAUACCCGGGUAGUCCCAGCUGUAAACGAUGCAGGCUAGGUGUUAGGGCGGUCACGUGCCGCUCUAGUGCCGCAGGGAAGCUGUUAAGCCUGCCGCCUGGGGAGUACGGCUGCAAGGCUGAAACUUAAAGGAAUUGGCGGGGGAGCAC
rnacentral:rRNA from 1 species